rnacentral:rRNA from 1 species
AGAGUUGAUCAUGGCUCAGGACGAACGCUGGCGGCGUGCUUAACACAUGCAAGUCGAACGGGGAUAUACUGGAGGAGAGCUUCGGCAGGAAUCGGGUAUAUUCGAGUGGCGGACGGGUGAGUAACGCGUGAGCAACCUGUCCCAGACAGGGGGAUAACACUUGGAAACAGGUGCUAAUACCGCAUAAGACCACGGGAUCACAUGGUUCUGGGGUAAAAGGAGCAAUCCGGUUUGGGGUGGGCUCGCGUCCGAUUAGAUAGUUGGUGAGGUAACGGCCCACCAAGUCGACGAUCGGUAGCCGACCUGAGAGGGUGAUCGGCCACAUUGGAACUGAGAGACGGUCCAAACUCCUACGGGAGGCAGCAGUGGGGAAUAUUGGGCAAUGGGCGAAAGCCUGACCCAGCAACGCCGCGUGAGUGAAGAAGGCCUUCGGGUUGUAAAGCUCUGUUAUAGUUGACGAAGGAAGUGACGGUAGGCUAUAAGGAAGCCCCGGCUAACUACGUGCCAGCCGCGGC